rnacentral:rRNA from 1 species
UACGUAGGUGGCAAGCGUUGUCCGGAUUUAUUGGGUUUAAAGGGUGCGUAGGCGGCCCUGUAAGUCAGUGGUGAAAUACUCUAGCUUAACUAGAGGGGUGCCAAUGAUACUGCAGGGCUUGAGUACAGAUGAGGUAGGCGGAAUUGACGGUGUAGCGGUGAAAUGCAUAGAUAUCGUCAAGAACACCUAUAGCGAAGGCAGCUUACUGGGCUGUAACUGACGCUGAGGCACGAAAGUGUGGGGAGUCAAACAGG